UAUAUCCUGAGAUGUGCGAUAAUCCUAUUAUUUUGAACCUACAUUUUUUUGUCAUGGGAUUCCUAUAUUGGUCUUUCGAUGUCAUGCCGUCAUAAUGGAACGGAAGACAGAGAUCGUACCUGCGGUUGCCCCCCUAGCUCUGCUAGGACUCAAAAUACGGGAAACGGCAUUUUGGGAUAUUU
rnacentral:other from 1 species